rnacentral:rRNA from 1 species
AGUGAACGCUGGCGGUAGGCCUAACACAUGCAAGUCGAACGGCAGCACAGGAGAGCUUGCUCUCUGGGUGGCGAGUGGCGGACGGGUGAGGAAUACAUCGGAAUCUACUCUGUCGUGGGGGAUAACGUAGGGAAACUUACGCUAAUACCGCAUACGACCUACGGGUGAAAGCAGGGGAUCUUCGGACCUUGCGCGAUUGAAUGAGCCGAUGUCGGAUUAGCUAGUUGGCGGGGUAAAGGCCCACCAAGGCGACGAUCCGUAGCUGGUCUGAGAGGAUGAUCAGCCACACUGGAACUGAGACACGGUCCAGACUCCUACGGGAGGCAGCAGUGGGGAAUAUUGGACAAUGGGCGCAAGCCUGAUCCAGCCAUACCGCGUGGGUGAAGAAGGCCUUCGGGUUGUAAAGCCCUUUUGUUGGGAAAGAAAUCCAGCUGGUUAAUACCCGGUUGGGAUGACGGUACCCAAAGAAUAAGCACCGGCUAACUUCGUGCCAGCAGCCGCGGUAAUACGAAGGGUGCAAGCGUUACUCGGAAUUACUGGGCGUAAAGCGUGCGUAGGUGGUUAUUUAAGUCCGUUGUGAAAGCCCUGGGCUCAACCUGGGAACUGCAGUGGAUACUGGAUGACUAGAAUGUGGUAGAGGGUAGCGGAAUUCCUGGUGUAGCAGUGAAAUGCGUAGAGAUCAGGAGGAACAUCCAUGGCGAAGGCAGCUACCUGGACCAACAUUGACACUGAGGCACGAAAGCGUGGGGAGCAAACGGG